AGAGUUUGAUCAUGGCUCAGGACGAACGCUGGCGGCGUGCUUAAUACAUGCAAGUCAAGGGGAAAGCUAUCUUCGGAUGGUGAUUAUACUGGCGGACGGGUGAGUAACGCGUAGGCGACCUGCCUUUAUGUUUGGGAUAACCUCGCGAAAGUGGGGCUAAUACCGGAUGUGGUCUUAAUAAUGCCUGUUAUUAGGAUUAAAGUUGCUUGGGGUGACCUGGGUAACGCAUAGGGAUGGGCCUGCGUUCCAUUAGCUAGUUGGCGAGGUAACGGCUCACCAAGGCGACGAUGGAUAGCUGGUCUGAGAGGACGACCAGCCACACUGGGACUGAGAUACGGCCCAGACUCCUACGGGAGGCAGCAGUAGGGAAUAUUGCGCAAUGCCCGCAAGGGUGACGCAGCGACGCCGCGUGGGUGAAGAAGCUCUACGGAGUGUAAAGCCCUGUCAGAGGGGAAGAACGGCAUUGAUUCGUAAGGGUUAGUGUGUGACGGUACCCUCAGAGGAAGCUCCGGCUAACUCCGUGCCAGCAGCCGCGGUAAUACGGGGGGAGCAAGCGUUGUCCGGAAUCACUGGGCGUAAAGGGCGUGUAGGCGGGUGAUCAAGUCAGAUGUAAAAGGCUACGGCUCAACCGUAGUAUGUCAUCUGAUACUGGUCAUCUUGAGUUCGAGAGAGGGUGGUGGAAUUCCCGGUGUAGCGGUGAAAUGCGUAGAUAUCGGGAAGAACACCUGAAGCGAAGGCGGCCACCUGGCUCGAAACUGACGCUGAGGCGCGAAAGCGUGGGGAGCAAACAGGAUUAGAGACCCUGGUAGUCCACGCUGUAAACGAUGGGCACUAGGUGUUGGUCCCGCUACGGGCGGGAUCGGUGCCGCAGCUAACGCAUUAAGUGCCCCGCCUGGGGAGUACGCUCGCAAGGGUGAAACUCAAAUGAAUUGACGG
rnacentral:rRNA from 1 species